AAGUAAAGAAGUAAUAUGUACAUUUAAUUUCGACUUAAAAAUAAAGGAGAUAACUCCUCAUACUUA
rnacentral:tRNA from 1 species